rnacentral:tRNA from 1 species
GGGGUUGUAGUUAAAUAUAACAUUUGGGUUGCAUCCAAAAAGUACUAUAAAAGUCUGCCUCA